rnacentral:tRNA from 1 species
ACCUGGCUAGUUCAGUCUGUAGAACAUGGAAUUCUUGAUCCCAAGGUCAUGAGUUCAAGCCCCAUGUUGGGUG